GGAUUAUGUUCACGGUUGAGAGGAGAUGCCGGAAGACAUGUGAACGGGAAGAUAAAGAUGAACCGAGAUAGAAGGAACUAGGGAGUUGGAAUACGUGGAAGGCCCUGUUCUUUGGAUCCGAAUGAAGCGCACACGGGAGGUUGGUUGUUGAGCCAGGAGCAAGCGGAAUGAUGGAGAGGAUAAACUCUGUUUUGUUGCUCGCUUGUUUGGGAUCAAUCCGGGAGUUUGGGGAUCAGGAAGACUUUGAACGGGAUGAAGAGAAGUUGAGGAAGACGUUGAGAACAGUGGAUACGGUUGGGAACAUGGGAUUAAGAUGAACCUGUUCUUUGGACAUAGGAGAGAAGAAAUGUCAUGGAACGAGGGGAGGAUAAGACAAGAUGAAAUUCCGGUUGACGUGGAUGCAUGGGAGCUAGGAUAGAGCUAUGCACGUGGAACAAGGGUUGUGGACUGAGACACGAACUUGGGGAACUUGAUGAACGUGUGAAGGAGAAGAAAAGAAUUUGAUGGAAUGCAGUG
rnacentral:lncRNA from 1 species